rnacentral:snRNA from 1 species
GGAUAUGAGGGCAACAUGGCUGAGGCUCCUGUCACCCCAUGGGUCACCAGGAUUGAUUCAGACAAUAUAGCUGGCUGGUGGGGUCCCCUUUGUUUUUCACUCCAUGAAGUUGCACAUUUGCUCAGAGAGAAACCUUCUUAUGACAAGGGAAUACAAAUCCUGUACCUCCCCAAAGUUCCCAAAAAACUCAGAUCCAUCUGUGGUUUAUUAGUAUAUUAGUUAGGGCAAGCAUAUUUACAAACUCGCUUAAUAUUCUUGGGACUGGAUGUAAGACAGUGUUUUAAG